AUUCACAGCCAUAUUACCCUGCAGCCCAAGACCAGUUACUUGCUGAAGCUAAGCAGGGCUGAGCCUGGUCAGUACCUGGAUGGGAGACAACAUAAGGAAACUAGGUUGCGUUGAAAG
ensembl:rRNA 5S_rRNA 5S ribosomal RNA